rnacentral:sRNA from 1 species
UGUUCUCACGAGGGGGCAGCUUGGGCUUGACUGAGCAGGAGCUUCAUGGUCCCACAUGUAGUGUGACAUGUGACCUCUGCACAUUGUUUACAGUUCCUGAACUGUGAUUUCUUUUUCUGUGAAACAGUUGUAAUAGUAGGUGGCUACCAAGUAGAAAGUGCUCAUGGGGGCCGAAGGUUAAACACAAUAACGGACACACAGAACUUACACAGGGCCCUUUAUGCCAUGCUAUAUUGAAUAUCUGUGCCCCUCUACCUACCCGUAAAUGUCAUGAAUAUUGACAAUUCACUCUAGACCCUGCUAGAAGAAUCCAAAGAAAUUGACAGUGAUCUGGAAGCAAUGACUGAGAAAUUACAGUACCUCACUAGUGUGUACUGUACAGAAAAAAUGUCUCAGCAAGUGGCAGAACUGGGACGGGAGACUGAGGAGUUGCGACAGAUGAUCAAAAUUCGUUUGCAGAACCUCCAAGAUGCAGCUAAGGAUAUGAAAAAAUUUGAAGCAGAGUUGAAAAAGUUACAAGCUGCCUUGGAGCAAGCCCAGGCAACCCUGACUUCUCCCGAAGUUGGACGCCUCAGUCUCAAGGAGCAGCUCUCUCAUCGGCAGCAUCUGUUGUCUGAGAUGGAGUCACUGAAGCCGAAGGUGCAAGCAGUGCAGCUCUGCCAGAGUGCCCUCCGGAUCCCCGAGGAUGUGGUUGCCAGCUUACCUCUCUGUCAUGCUGCUCUGCGGCUGCAGGAAGAGGCCAGCCGGCUGCAGCACACCGCCAUCCAGCAGUGCAACAUCAUGCAGGAGGCUGUGGUGCAGUAUGAACAAUAUGAGCAAGAAAUGAAACAUCUCCAGCAACUGAUAGAAGGAGCUCACAGAGAGAUUGAGGAUAAACCUGUUGCCACCAGUAACAUACAGGAGCUGCAGGCUCAGAUUUCUCGGCAUGAGGAGCUGGCGCAGAAAAUUAAGGGCUACCAGGAGCAGAUCGCUUCUUUGAAUUCCAAGUGCAAGAUGCUGACGAUGAAAGCCAAGCACGCCACCAUGCUGCUGACGGUGACCGAGGUCGAGGGGCUGGCGGAAGGGACAGAGGACCUGGAUGGGGAGCUCCUCCCCACGCCUUCGGCCCACCCCUCUGUGGUCAUGAUGACUGCAGGUCGCUGUCACACUUUGCUGUCACCGGUCACUGAGGAGUCUGGGGAGGAGGGAACCAACAGUGAGAUUUCCUCUCCACCUGCCCGUCGCUCCCCUUCACCUGUGGCUAAUACAGAUGCUUCUGUUAACCAGGACAUUGCAUAUUACCAAGCCUUGUCUGCUGAGAGGUUGCAGACAGAUGCUGCAAAAAUUCACCCCAGCACAUCCACAUCCCAGGAGUUCUAUGAACCGGGAUUGGAGCCAUCCGCUACUGCCAAACUGGGUGAUUUGCAGCGUUCUUGGGAAACCUUAAAGAAUGUGAUCAGUGAGAAGCAGCGCACACUCUAUGAAGCUUUGGAACGCCAGCAGAAGUACCAGGACUCCCUCCAGUCCAUCUCUACGAAGAUGGAGGCCAUUGAGCUGAAACUCAGUGAGAGCCCAGAGCCUGGCAGGAGUCCAGAAAGCCAGAUGGCUGAACAUCAGGCAUUGAUGGAUGAGAUUCUCAUGCUCCAGGAUGAAAUCAAUGAGCUCCAGUCCUCUCUGGCAGAGGAGCUGGUAUCCGAGUCUUGUGAGGCCGACCCCGCGGAGCAGCUGGCCUUGCAGUCCACGCUCACUGUCUUAGCCGAGCGAAUGUCCACCAUCAGGAUGAAAGCCUCAGGGAAACGGCAGCUUUUGGAGGAGAAGUUGAAUGAUCAGCUGGAGGAACAAAGGCAGGAACAGGCCCUGCAGAGGUAUCGCUGUGAAGCCGAAGAGCUGGACAGCUGGCUCUUGAGUACCAAGGCCACUCUGGACACUGCGCUGAGUCCACCCAAGGAGCCCAUGGACAUGGAGGCCCAGCUUGUGGACUGCCAGAAUAUGCUGGUGGAAAUAGAGCAGAAGGUGGUGGCUUUAUCAGAACUGUCAGUCCACAAUGAGAACCUGCUGCUGGAGGGCAAAGCUCACACCAAGGACGAGGCCGAGCAGCUGGCUGGAAAGCUGAGAAGGCUCAAGGGGAGCCUGCUGGAGCUGCAGAGAGCGCUGCACGAUAAGCAGCUCAACAUGCAGGGAACAGCACAGGAGAAGGAGGAGAGCGAUGUUGACCUAACAGCCACGCAGAGCCCCGGCGUCCAGGAAUGGCUGGCCCAAGCUCGCACCACGUGGACCCAGCAGCGGCAGAGCAGUCUCCAGCAACAAAAAGAGUUAGAACAGGAAUUAGCUGAGCAGAAGAGUCUCCUUCGCUCAGUAGCCAGUCGUGGAGAGGAGAUUCUAAUUCAACAUUCGGCGGCAGAGACUUCUGGUGACGCUGGCGAAAAACCUGAUGUGUUAUCCCAGGAGUUGGGGAUGGAAGGGGAGAAAUCAUCCGCUGAAGACCAGAUGAGAAUGAAAUGGGAAAGCCUACAUCAAGAAUUUAGUACCAAACAGAAACUACUACAGAAUGUUCUGGAACAGGAACAAGAGCAAGUGCUUUAUAGCAGACCAAAUCGACUGUUGUCUGGUGUGCCACUGUACAAAGGGGAUGUGCCGACCCAAGAUAAAUCUGCAGUUACAUCUUUGCUGGAUGGACUGAACCAAGCCUUUGAGGAGGUUUCAUCCCAGAGUGGAGGGGCAAAGAGGCAGAGUAUACACUUGGAGCAGAAGUUGUAUGAUGGGGUCUCAGCCACCUCUACUUGGUUGGAUGACGUUGAAGAACGUUUAUUUGUUGCCACAGCACUUUUACCAGAAGAAACAGAGACUUGUCUCUUCAACCAAGAGAAUCUUGCCAAAGACAUUAAGGAAAUGUCUGAAGAAAUGGAUAAGAACAAAAACUUGUUUUCCCAAGCUUUUCCAGAGAAUGGUGAUAAUCGAGAUGUUAUUGAAGAUACUUUGGGUUGUCUUUUGGGCAGGUUAUCCUUGCUAGACUCAGUAGUGAAUCAACGAUGUCAUCAGAUGAAAGAAAGGCUUCAGCAAAUACUAAAUUUCCAGAAUGAUCUGAAAGUGCUGUUUACAUCACUGGCUGACAACAAAUACAUCAUUCUGCAGAAACUGGCAAAUGUGUUUGAACAGCCCGUAGCAGAACAAAUAGAGGCAAUACAACAGGCUGAAGAUGGACUCAAAGAAUUGGAUGCAGGAAUCAUUGAAUUAAAGAGGCGUGGUGACAAGUUACAGGUCGAGCAGCCGUCCAUGCAAGAACUCUCCAAGCUCCAGGACAUGUAUGAUGAGCUGAUGAUGACCAUUGGCUCCCGGAGGAGUGGUCUGAACCAGAACCUUACACUCAAGAGCCAGUAUGAGAGGGCCCUACAAGAUCUGGCUGACCUGCUAGAAACUGGUCAGGAGAAGAUGGCAGGAGACCAGAAAAUCAUCGUGUCUUCCAAAGAGGAAAUUCAGCAACUACUUGACAAACAUAAGGAAUACUUUCAGGGCCUGGAAUCUCAUAUGAUCUUGACUGAAACACUCUUCAGAAAGAUAAUCAGCUUUGCAGUCCAAAAGGAAACCCAGUUCCAUACAGAGCUGAUGGCUCAGGCUUCUGCUGUACUGAAACGGGCUCACAAGAGGGGUGUGGAGCUGGAGUACAUUCUAGAGACGUGGUCCCAUCUGGAUGAGGACCAGCAGGAGCUCGGCAGACAGCUGGAGGUGGUGGAAAGCAGCAUCCCAAGCGUGGGUCUGGUGGAGGAGAACGAGGACAGGCUUAUUGACCGCAUAACACUCUACCAGCAUUUAAAAUCUAGCCUUAAUGAAUACCAGCCCAAAUUAUAUCAAGUAUUAGAUGAUGGGAAACGACUUCUGAUAUCCAUCAGCUGCUCAGAUCUAGAAAGCCAACUAAAUCAAUAGGUUAAGACUUAAGAGAAACAAGAAACACUGGCAGUAUCAUGACUUUUUGUUUUUUAGUAAGUGCUGCAUUUAUAUAAGCUAGUAUAUCUAAAGUGUCUAAGGAACUUCACAGAUUGGAAACAAUAUUGAAACACUGGACCAGAUAUCAAAGUGAAUCUGCAGAUCUAAUUCAGUGGUUACAAUCUGCAAAAGACAGGCUAGAAUUUUGGACUCAGCAAUCUGUGACAGUCCCACAAGAGCUGGAAAUGGUCCGUGAUCAUCUAAAUGCUUUCCUGGAGUUUUCUAAAGAAGUGGAUGCCCAAUCUUCCCUGAAAUCAUCUGUUCUGAGUACUGGAAAUCAGCUCCUUCGACUAAAAAAGGUGGACACAGCCACGCUGCGCUCUGAGCUUUCGCACAUUGAUAGCCAGUGGACUGACCUGCUAACCAAUAUCCCAGCCAUCCAGGAGAAGCUCCACCAGCUCCAGAUGGAUAAACUGCCUUCCCGCCAUGCCAUUUCUGAAGUCAUGAGUUGGAUUUCUCUAAUGGAAAAUGUUAUUCAGAAGGAUGAAGAUAAUAUUAAAAAUUCCAUAGGUUACAAGGCAAUUCAUGAAUACCUUCAGAAAUAUAAGGGUUUUAAGAUAGACAUUAACUGUAAACAGCUGACGGUGGAUUUUGUGAACCAGUCCGUGCUACAAAUCAGCAGUCAGGAUGUGGAAAGUAAACGUAGUGAUAAGACUGAUUUUGCUGAGCAGCUUGGAGCAAUGAAUAAAAGUUGGCAAAUUCUGCAAGGUCUAGUAACUGAGAAGAUCCAGCUGUUGGAAGGCUUAUUGGAAUCUUGGUCAGAAUAUGAAAAUAAUGUACAAUGUCUGAAAACAUGGUUUGAAACCCAGGAAAAGAGACUAAAACAACAGCAUCGAAUUGGAGAUCAGGCUUCUGUUCAAAAUGCACUGAAAGACUGUCAGGAUCUGGAAGAUUUGAUUAAAGCAAAAGAAAAAGAAGUAGAGAAAAUUGAGCAGAAUGGACUUGCUUUGAUUCAGAACAAGAAAGAAGACGUCUCUGGCAUUGUCAUGAGCACACUGCGAGAGCUCGGCCAAACCUGGGCGAAUUUAGAUCACAUGGUUGGACAAUUAAAGAUACUGCUAAAAUCAGUGCUUGACCAAUGGAGUAAUCACAAAGCGGCCUUUGACAAGAUAAACAGUUACCUCAUGGAGGCCAGAUACUCUCUUUCCCGAUUCCGUCUGCUGACUGGCUCUUUAGAAGCUGUGCAAGUUCAGGUGGACAAUCUUCAGAAUCUCCAAGAUGAUCUGGAAAAACAUGAAAGGAGCUUACAGAAAUUUGGCUCUAUCACCAACCAAUUAUUAAAAGAGUGUCACCCACCUGUGACAGAAACUCUUACCAAUACUCUGAAAGAAGUCAACAUGAGAUGGAAUAACUUGCUGGAAGAGAUUGCUGAGCAGCUACACUCCAGCAAGGCCCUACUUCAGCUUUGGCAAAGAUACAAGGACUACUCCAAACAGUGUGCUUCAACAGUUCAGCAGCAGGAGGAUCGAACCAAUGAGCUGUUGAAGGCAGCUACAAACAAGGACAUCGCCGAUGAUGAGGUUGCUACAUGGAUUCAAGAUUGCAAUGACCUCCUCAAAGGACUGGGCACAGUUAAAGAUUCCCUCUUUGUUCUCCAUGAGCUGGGAGAGCAACUGAAGCAACAAGUGGAUGCUUCAGCAGCAUCAGCUAUUCAAUCGGAUCAACUCUCUUUGAGUCAACACUUGUGUGCCCUGGAGCAGGCUCUCUGCAAACAGCAGACUUCGUUACAGGCUGGAGUUCUUGAUUAUGAAACCUUUGCCAAGAGUUUAGAAGCUUUGGAGGCCUGGAUAGUGGAAGCUGAAGAAAUACUACAAGGGCAGGACCCUAGCCACUCAUCUGACCUCUCCACAAUCCAGGAAAGGAUGGAAGAACUUAAGGGACAGAUGUUAAAAUUCAGCAGCAUGGCUCCAGAUUUAGACCGUCUAAAUGAGCUUGGAUAUAGGUUACCCUUGAAUGAUAAGGAAAUCAAAAGGAUGCAGAAUCUGAACCGCCAUUGGUCUCUGAUCUCCUCUCAGACUACAGAAAGAUUCAGCAAGUUGCAGUCAUUUUUGCUACAACAUCAGACUUUCUUGGAAAAAUGUGAAACAUGGAUGGAAUUCCUAGUUCAGACAGAACAAAAGUUAGCAGUAGAGAUUUCAGGAAAUUAUCAGCACCUUUUGGAACAGCAGAGAGCGCACGAGUUGUUUCAAGCCGAGAUGUUCAGUCGUCAGCAGAUUUUGCACUCAAUCAUUAUUGAUGGGCAACGUCUUCUAGAACAAGGUCAAGUUGAUGACAGGGAUGAAUUCAACCUGAAAUUGACACUCCUCAGUAAUCAAUGGCAGGGAGUGAUUCGCAGGGCCCAGCAGAGGCGGGGGAUCAUUGACAGCCAGAUUCGCCAGUGGCAGCGCUAUAGGGAGAUGGCAGAAAAGCUUCGUAAAUGGUUGGUUGAAGUGUCCUACCUCCCCGUGAGUGGUCUCGGAAGUGUUCCUAUACCACUGCAACAAGCAAGGACCCUCUUUGAUGAAGUGCAGUUCAAAGAAAAGGUGUUCCUGCGGCAACAAGGCAGCUACAUCCUGACUGUGGAGGCUGGCAAGCAACUCCUUCUCUCGGCGGACAGUGGCGCUGAGGCUGCCUUGCAGGCAGAACUCACUGAAAUCCAAGACAAAUGGAAAUCAGCCAGCAUGCGGCUGGAAGAACAGAAGAAAAAACUAGCCUUCUUGUUGAAAGACUGGGAAAAAUGUGAGAAAGGAAUAGCAGAUUCCCUGGAGAAACUACGAACUUUCAAAAAGAAGCUUUCCCAGUCUCUCCCGGAUCACCAUGAAGAGCUCCAUGCAGAACAAAUGCGUUGCAAGGAAUUAGAAAAUGCAGUUGGGAGCUGGACAGAUGACUUGACCCAGUUGAGCCUGCUGAAGGACACCCUCUCUGCCUAUAUCAGUGCUGAUGAUAUCUCCAUUCUUAAUGAACGCAUAGAGCUUCUGCAAAGGCAGUGGGAAGAACUAUGCCACCAGCUCUCCUUAAGGCGGCAGCAAAUAGGUGAAAGAUUGAAUGAAUGGGCAGUCUUCAGUGAAAAGAACAAGGAACUCUGUGAAUGGUUGACUCAAAUGGAAAGCAAGGUUUCUCAGAAUGGAGACAUUCUCAUUGAAGAAAUGAUAGAGAAGCUCAAGAAGGAUUAUCAAGAGGAAAUUGCUAUUGCUCAAGAGAACAAGAUACAGCUCCAACAAAUGGGAGAACGACUUGCUAAAGCCAGCCAUGAAAGCAAAGCAUCUGAGAUUGAAUACAAGCUGGGAAAGGUCAACGACCGGUGGCAGCAUCUCCUGGACCUCAUUGCAGCCAGGGUGAAGAAGCUGAAGGAGACCCUGGUAGCCGUGCAGCAGCUUGAUAAGAACAUGAGCAGCCUGAGGACCUGGCUCGCUCACAUCGAGUCAGAGCUGGCCAAGCCAAUAGUCUACGAUUCCUGUAACUCGGAAGAAAUACAGAGAAAGCUUAAUGAGCAGCAGGAGCUUCAGAGAGACAUAGAGAAGCAUAGUACAGGUGUUGCAUCUGUCCUCAACCUGUGUGAAGUCCUGCUGCACGACUGUGAUGCCUGUGCCACUGAUGCCGAGUGUGACUCUAUACAGCAGGCUACGAGAAACCUGGACCGGCGGUGGAGAAACAUUUGUGCUAUGUCCAUGGAAAGGAGGCUCAAAAUCGAAGAGACGUGGAGAUUGUGGCAGAAAUUUCUGGAUGACUAUUCACGUUUUGAAGAUUGGCUGAAGUCUUCAGAAAGGACAGCUGCUUUUCCCAGCUCUUCUGGGGUGAUCUAUACAGUUGCCAAGGAAGAACUAAAGAAAUUUGAGGCUUUCCAGCGACAGGUCCACGAGUGCCUGACGCAGCUGGAACUGAUCAACAAGCAGUACCGCCGCCUGGCCAGGGAGAACCGCACUGAUUCAGCGUGUAGCCUCAAACAGAUGGUUCACGAAGGCAACCAGAGAUGGGACAACCUGCAAAAGCGCGUCACCUCCAUCUUGCGCAGACUCAAGCAUUUUAUUGGCCAGCGUGAGGAGUUUGAGACUGCGCGGGACAGCAUUCUGGUCUGGCUCACAGAGAUGGAUCUGCAGCUCACUAAUAUUGAACAUUUUUCUGAGUGUGAUGUUCAAGCUAAAAUUAAGCAACUCAAGGCCUUCCAGCAGGAAAUUUCACUGAACCACAAUAAGAUUGAGCAGAUAAUUGCCCAAGGAGAACAGCUGAUAGAAAAGAGUGAGCCCUUGGAUGCGGCGAUCAUCGAGGAGGAACUAGAUGAGCUCCGACGGUACUGCCAGGAGGUCUUUGGGCGUGUGGAAAGAUACCAUAAGAAACUGAUCCGCCUGCCUCUCCCAGACGAUGAGCACGACCUCUCAGAUAGGGAGCUGGAGCUGGAAGACUCUGCAGCUCUGUCGGACCUGCACUGGCAUGACCGCUCUGCAGACAGCCUGCUUUCUCCACAGCCUUCCUCCAACCCCUCCCUCUCGCUCGCUCAGCCCCUCCGGAGCGAGCGGUCAGGACGAGACACCCCGGCUAGUGUGGACUCCAUCCCCCUGGAGUGGGAUCACGACUAUGAUCUCAGUCGGGACCUGGAGUCUGCAAUGUCCAGAGCUCUGCCCUCUGAGGAUGAAGAGGGUCAGGACGAUAAAGAUUUCUACCUCCGGGGAGCUGUUGGCUUAUCAGGGGACCACAGUGCCCUAGAGUCACAGAUCCGACAACUGGGCAAAGCCCUGGAUGAUAGCCGCUUUCAGAUACAGCAAACUGAAAAUAUCAUUCGCAGCAAAACUCCCACGGGGCCGGAGCUAGACACCAGCUACAAAGGCUACAUGAAACUGCUGGGCGAAUGCAGUGGCAGUAUAGACUCCGUGAAGAGACUGGAGCACAAACUGAAGGAGGAAGAGGGGAGCCUUCCCGGCUUUGUUAACCUGCAUAGUACUGAAACCCAAACGGCUGGUGUGAUUGACCGAUGGGAGCUUCUCCAGGCCCAGGCAUUGAGCAAGGAGUUGAGGAUGAAGCAGAACCUCCAGAAGUGGCAGCAGUUUAACUCAGACUUGAACAGCAUCUGGGCCUGGCUGGGGGACACGGAGGAGGAGCUGGAACAGCUCCAGCGUCUGGAACUCAGCACUGACAUCCAGACCAUCGAGCUCCAGAUCAAAAAGCUCAAGGAGCUCCAGAAAGCUGUGGACCACCGCAAAGCCAUCAUCCUCUCCAUCAAUCUCUGCAGCCCCGAGUUCACCCAGGCUGACAGCAAGGAGAGCCGGGACCUGCAGGAUCGCUUGUCGCAGAUGAAUGGGCGCUGGGACCGAGUGUGCUCUCUGCUGGAGGAGUGGCGGGGCCUGCUGCAGGAUGCCCUGAUGCAGUGCCAGGAUUUCCAUGAAAUGAGCCAUGGUUUGCUUCUUAUGCUGGAGAACAUUGACAGAAGGAAAAAUGAAAUUGUCCCUAUUGAUUCUAACCUUGAUGCAGAGAUACUUCAGGACCAUCACAAACAGCUUAUGCAAAUAAGGCAUGAGCUGUUGGAAUCCCAACUCAGAGUAGCCUCUUUGCAAGACAUGUCUUGCCAACUACUGGUGAAUGCUGAAGGAACAGACUGUUUAGAAGCCAAAGAAAAAGUCCAUGUUAUUGGAAAUCGGCUCAGACUUCUCUUGAAGGAGGUCAGUCGUCAUAUCAAGGAACUGGAGAAGUUAUUAGACGUGUCAAGUAGUCAGCAGGAUUUGUCUUCCUGGUCUUCUGCUGAUGAACUGGACACCUCAGGGUCUGUGAGUCCCACAUCAGGAAGGAGCACCCCAAACAGACAGAAAACGCCACGAGGCAAGUGUAGUCUCUCACAGCCUGGACCCUCUGUCAGCAGUCCACAUAGCAGGUCCACAAAAGGUGGCUCCGAUUCCUCCCUUUCUGAGCCUGGGCCAGGUCGGUCCGGCCGCGCCUUCCUGUUCAGAGUCCUCCGAACAGCUCUUCCCCUUCAGCUUCUCCUGCUCCUCCUCAUUGGGCUCGCCUGCCUUGUACCAAUGUCAGAGGAAGACUACAGCUGUGCCCUCUCCAACAACUUUGCCCGGUCAUUCCACCCCAUGCUCAGAUACACGAAUGGCCCUCCUCCACUCUGAACUAAGCAGAUGCCAUCUGCAGAAGUGCUGGUAGCAUAAGGAGGAUCGGGUCAUAAGCAAUCCCAAACUACCAACAAGAGGACCUUGAUCUUGGUGAAAGCCCUCCGUGUGGCAGCUUGAGCCCUCCUCCAGAUCACAUGUGUGCAAAUCAUGGCUUCAGAGGUGGAAGAUAAACAGUGACAGGGGAACAAAGAGACAACAAGAAGGUUUGGAAGAAAUCUGGUUUGAGACUCUGAACCUUAGCACUAAGGAGAUGAGUAAGGACCUCCAAAGUUCCCUGAGCUCAUGAAUUCUGGGCCCUUGGCCCAUUCUAUGCAUAGCCAAGGACUUCAGUAGACCAUCUGGGCAGCUUUCCCAUGGUGCUGCUCCAACCAUCAGAUAAAUGUCCCUCCCAAGCACCAUGUCAGUGUCGUACAAUCUACCAACCAACUAGUGCUGAAGAGAUUUUAGAACCUUGUAACAUACAAUUUUUAAGAGCUUAUAUGGCAGCUUCCUUUUUACCUUGUUUUCCUUUGGGGCAUGAUGUUUUAACCUUUGCUUUAGAAGCACAAGCUGUAAAUCUAAAAGGCACUUUUUUUAGAGGUAUAAAGAAAAACUAGAUGUAAUAAAUAAGAUCAUGGAAGGCUUUAUGUGAAAAAAGUUCAAUGUUAUAGU